AAUACAUGGUAAGGGCACCUUCUCAAAAGAUCCUUGUAUCUCCCCCAUGCAUCAUAGAGUGUUUCGAGAUCCAUUUGCACAAAAGAAGAGAUGUCAUUCCUCAACUU
rnacentral:snoRNA from 1 species